UUUUAUGGAGAGUUUGAUCCUGGCUCAGGAUGAACGCUGGCGGCGUGCCUAAUACAUGCAAGUCGAGCGAACGGACGAGAAGCUUGCUUCUCUGAUGUUAGCGGCGGACGGGUGAGUAACACGUGGAUAACCUACCUAUAAGACUGGGAUAACUUCGGGAAACCGGAGCUAAUACCGGAUAAUAUUUUGAACCGCAUGGUUCAAAAGUGAAAGACGGUCUUGCUGUCACUUAUAGAUGGAUCCGCGCUGCAUUAGCUAGUUGGUAAGGUAACGGCUUACCAAGGCAACGAUGCAUAGCCGACCUGAGAGGGUGAUCGGCCACACUGGAACUGAGACACGGUCCAGACUCCUACGGGAGGCAGCAGUAGGGAAUCUUCCGCAAUG
rnacentral:rRNA from 1 species